rnacentral:rRNA from 1 species
AAGCGCUUGCAAUCAGACUUGCAUGCAGUUGAUCAUCCGAUGUUCUCACCGGUGCACUCAGUUGUAUACAGGCCAGCAUCGGUUUUGGUGGUUGGAUAAAGGCCCAGGGAAUGUGGCUUCCUUCGGGGAGUGUUAUAGCCUUGGGUGUAAUGCAGCCUACUGGGACCGAGGACCGCGCUUCGGCUAGGAUGCUGGCGUAAUGGUUGCAAGCGA